rnacentral:rRNA from 1 species
AUACGAACCGGACAAACGUUAUUCGGAAUUAUAGGGCUUAAAGGGUGCGUAGGCGGCUUGGUAGGUGGGGUGUGAAAUCCCUCGGCUCAACCGAGGAACUGCGCCCCAAACCCCUAAGCUAGAGGGAGACAGAGGUAAGCGGAACUGAUGGUGGAGCGGUGAAAUGCGUUGAUAUCAUCAGGAACACCAGUGGCGAAAGCGGCUUACUGGGUCUCUUCUGACGCUGAGGCACGAAAGCUAGGGUAGCGAACGGGAUUAGAAACCCCAGUAGUCC